AAUAAGGCUGGGGAGAGAGUUGAAGUAAGAGGUGGAGGGACGGGGCUGCCGCUCGUCACUUGUUAACAUCCGGGGCUGCCAGGGUCGGCGCAGGCGCACAACUUGUGUUUCCUCAACCUUAAUUUUGCCAGCAAAUAUUCUGCCUAUUUUACUUGCCUUCCACUCUACUCCCUGUAAUUGACAGACACGUUCCUACAGCAGUAUAACAAUACCGGUAUCAUCACGACCAAUUUUCAUUCGCCCGUAAUCGGCAACAACUACCUGUUUUAAGAGGUGAUUCACUAUCGGAUUUAGGAUCACCAAAAAAUGUCGGUGCUAAACUUAAGCGAGGAUAUGGUGGAAUGUCCACUAUGUAUGGAGCCAUUGGAAAUGGACGACCUAAAUUUCUUCCCGUGUACAUGUGGUUAUCAAAUAUGUCGAUUCUGUUGGCAUCGGAUUCGUACAGAUGAGAAUGGUCUUUGCCCAGCAUGUCGGAAGGCUUACCCUGAAAACCCUGCUGAUUUCAAGCCUUUAUCGCAUGAAGAUCUCCAGCGAAUAAAGCAGGAAAAGCGUCAGAAGGAUGCACAACGUAAACAAAAGGUGACGGAGAACCGGAAGCAUCUGGCCAACGUACGGGUUGUGCAGAAGAAUCUUGUUUUUGUAGUUGGCCUUUCUACGCGGUUAGCUGAUGCAGAGACGUUAAAGAAGCCAGAAUACUUUGGAAAAUUUGGAAAAAUUCAUAAAGUAGUUAUAAAUCACAGCACUAGUUAUGCUGGGUCUCAGGGGCCAAGUGCAUCAGCGUACGUGACCUAUCAGAGAGCGGAGGAUGCGCUUCGAGCCAUUCAGGCAGUAAACAACAUUCAUGUAGACGGGCGGACGUUGAAGGCCUCCUUGGGGACCACAAAGUACUGCUCCCACUUCAUGAAAAACCAGCAGUGCCCCAAACCUGAUUGCAUGUAUCUUCACGAAUUAGGUGAUGAAUCGGCAAGCUUUACUAAAGAGGAAAUGCAACAAGGGAAACACCAAGAAUUUGAAAAGAAACUUCAAGACCAAUAUUUAGGGAAUCCAACAUCGGAAAAAAAUAGUACGAGUGUUUCGCCACCUCAAGCAGCCACCUCAGGAAAUUCCAGUUCGAAUAAAAGGACGGCAUCAGGAGGGGGCAAAGAAAAUUCUGCCCCCAAAAAUCAAGAUUCAAUUUCUCCUAAUCCUAACUCUGGGGAGGCAUGGCCAUCGCUAAAUGCCAUUGCCACUAAAGAAAGUAAAAAGUCCAAAGGCAGCAAAUCGGAUAGAAGUAAUGGCUCAGCAAGACACACGCCGACAGACGAGCACAAUAAUAAUAAUAAUAAUAGUAGUAAUAAUAAUAACAAAAGAGGGAGUAAAGAGAGAGAUCGAUCCUGCAAUACAAGCAGUAGCAGCAGCAGUAACAGUAGCACCAGUGGAAGCAGUAGCAGCUCUAGUAAUGGCUUGGGUGUGGAUAUGAUGAACCACAGUGUUAGUCCUGUGGCAACAUCUUCGCCGUCAUCAGGUCACGAGAGUUGCACGUCUUCUGCUUCUACGACCCCACCUCCAUCCUUUGAUAAUCCUCUAAUACCACCUUCCCCACCUCCUUGCUCUUCAUCUCCUGUUCCGGUGUCCUGCAUACAGGAUUUAUGCCGGGAAGAUACCUCUCCCUUGCCCACUCCACCCUCUUCGUUAUCAUCUUCCUCAGAACCUUCGUCAUCUCUCCCGCUACCACAACAGUUUUCCCGUUCUGCUGCCGCUGCUUCCCUCUUUUCGGAUAACAGCAACAGUUUCUUUUCGUCUGGGCCGUCACUUCCUCUGCAGCGAACACCACCACCACUUCCACCAGCAUCAUCUCCACAACAGAAUCACCAGCUUCACAACAGUCACGCCAGCAGUCAUCAGUACACACACGACAACACUUCAGAUUGGGCUAGCAAAACGUCAGAAGUAUUUGAUAUGGAUAGUAUGUUUCCCUCUCAAAAUCGCUCGAAUAGUACUUGGAACUGUAUAUUUGAUUUUGAAAAGAGUGAAGACAUGACAGGAGUCAAUAAUUUAGUAGAUGAUGAAUUAGGUUUUGAUCCAUUUGAAGAAACCAAUAAAGCAUUAGCCGAAGAUAUAAAAAUAGAACAAAAACAGCAGCAGCAGCUUCAAAGGCAUCAGCAGCAGUUCACGCAACACCAACACCAUCAACACCAAAGCCAGCUUCAAUCUCACCACCACCAACAGCAACAGCAGCAGUUAAGAGCUGGCCUAAAAUCAUUGAUGGACUAUACAACUCCUAGUGGACAGUCUCGUGCCAGAUUACCACCACCAGGCUUUAAUGGUUUAAACAGUUUUAAUUCAUAUGGUAUGCCAAGACAAACUCAGCCUGAGCCGAGUAAGCUGCUGCCACCGUUCUUAAGUGGGUUAGCAGGAAAUCCCAACCUUGGUACUCCUGGACUUGGUUCUGCCCCUUCAGUACCUCCAGCGCUCAAUGGCUUGGUGGGAUCCAGUGGUUUAGGUGUACCUCCAGGUUUGGGUGGGAGUCUUCUUGGUAAUGGCACCACUAAUGGGCUUGGUAGUGGUGGUAUACCAGGAGGACUUGGUAAUGGUAUGCCUCCCCACUUACUGUCGCCUGCUUCCCUCUUAAGUAUGGACACACCCCUCAGUGCCUCACAAGGUCCGCCAGGUAUCGGGUUGCCCAAAAGUGAUGCGUUCCUCCUCAAAGAUCUAGAAAACGGCCUUCGCAAUAUAUUCCCUGCCAUCAGUUCGGUGAGCACUAUGAACACGCUCAAUACCGUCAACACGCUAAACUCUCUUGCCGGAGGAACCAAUAAUCCGACCUCGCAAAACAACCCGUUAGCAAAUUUUCUAAACAUGGCUCACCACCACCACCAGCAACAGCAGCAGCAUCCUUCACAGCAAUCUCUUCUACACCAACUCACAAUGAGCUCUCUAGCAAGUUCUCACAAAGGUUGGAGUAACAGUGGUGCCCCUGAUCUGACAGUUCUUGAUCCAGCAAUUGUAUCAUCAGGACAGUUGACAGAUUCACGGUCAGAUUCUCCUCCCCACUGGAUGAAAACAAUGGAGCAGCUCACAGAGGGAGGUCCCCACCCUCUCUGGAAUAAUCUAAUGCCAUACAACUUAUCUGGCUUACCAACUGGUUUGGGUCCUCACACUGGCCCCUCAGGUCCUACGGCUCCCACACAGCGCUCCGUAGCACCCAUGUGGCCCCCAACCUCACCACCGCCAGGUUUUAACUCCAUCUCACCACUACAUCAUCCCAAGCAACACGAACCACACAAGAUUGAAACCCAUUCUCCUGCACUACUUUGCUUAGGGUGAUGCCCUUAGCACAGUCGCCUGCCAUGGGGUGACGUGUACCAUAGCCUAGACCAUACUCCAGUCUGAUGAUGAGGUCACAUGCUUCAUUUCCACAAUAUUGACUGCACUACACAUCUAGCAUCACUCAACAUGUAUGUGGAUGGAGACAGUAUUUGCCAUGCAGAUCUCUAAUAGCAGUAAAUGGAGAAGUUUAUAUCGUGUAUGAAUGAAGAGGAAGAAUUAUAGAAGAAUUUAUUAUAUUGAGCUCCAGACCCUUGUCAUCGUAUUCAAAACCAUUUAGGGGAACAGCUACAAGUCAUAUAGCCACUUUUUGAUGCAUUGUUUAGACAAAAAAAACGGUAGAAGGAAAGUGAAAUUAUUGUUUUCCCUUAAUAUUUAUUUGUGUAACUGGAUCAUGCAAGCAGUGAAUCAUCCUCUUUUUAUUUUAUUUUUAUUUUUUGUUAUCAAUGAGUUUAUAGUCUAUUUGAAUUAAUAAAAUGGAACAAUUUUUUGCCAUAUUUUUUAUUCGUGACAUGCAAAGCUUUACCGAACUUUCCCUUUGCUGUUUUUGGCAGCCUAUUUAUCUUGUUGCAUGCAUUAAGAGUCCUAUUUUUUAUUAUUCUUUAAGUUGUUAUAGUAUUGCACUUGGCAGAUGGGACUGUCUUAUUGCCUUCUAGCUGGUGUUUCUGGAAGAGUAGUCGUUCAUUUUCAAUUCAUUUGUAUCAUUUCAACGGAACCCUGCUAAUACGGUGUCCGCUCUGCUGUUGAGAAUUACAAAUUGACUUUUGUGGCAGAAGUCAUUUCAUGUUCCCAACCAAUUUUUGGCAUUAAAAAUGUUAAACACCUUCUCAAGCACAUGAUUAAGUUUGAUGUUUACAGGUUUGAUGAGGCUUUUUAUGCAAAUAUUUCUAAGAGUGCUGGAUACUAAGGAGCCCUGGCUUUGAUUUAUGAUGGUCGAAAUGAGAUUUGCCUAGCACAGUGUUUGAAUGCGUUUAAGUGUGUAAUUAGGUGUUAUUUUGGUUAUUUGACGUUACUUCUGUGCCUAAGAAAUUAGGUAAUUACAAAUGGCCCUUUUGUAAAGCUUGACAGAAUUUUUUUGGUUACAGUCUAAUCCAUAAUUGCAAUGUAGCUUUAAUGUCUUAUGUGCACCCAUCAAUAUACCGGUAUAUACAUAUAAGUAAAUAAAUAUAUGUACUGUAUAUAUACAUUAUAAUAUAUAUAUUACAUAUGUAAUUUAUUUAUAUUAAUGGCCAUCAAGGAGUGGAAAUAUAUAAAAAUGACUCGAAGGCUCAACAUAUAAAACGUUUGUAUCAGAUUUCUUUACUUUGAUAUAUCUACAUAUAUAUUUAUAUAUAACACAAAUACUGACCCUUAGUACCCAGCAAUCGCAUCAGUUUGGUAUCUCAUGUGCAUUUGAGGAUAAUGUCUGUACUACAUAUUGAUGCUGUAUACCCACUUCACAAGACUUCCCCCUUUACAAGAAUAUUAGUAGCAAUCUACCUUCCAUUGAUUCCAUACGCAUUGCAGACUUAUCCUAACCUUCCUCUGAACUUUAUCUUUUUUUUUUAAUAUAUAUAUUUUUUAUUUUUAUUUUUUGUUAUUUUUUCGUGUUUGAGGAUGUGGAAAUGCUGCUCUCCCCUAGAAAGUAGCAAGUCUUUCAAUGCUACGAAAAUGUUUUUCUUUGUAUCAUUUACUGCUGUUUGAAUCUUAAAGUGUGAUGAAAUUAGUGCUGGGGAAUUUUUUUGGUAUAAUAUCUACUGAAGAGAUUGCUGUUACUAGCAAGUGCUGUUGUCAUGGUAGUCAAGAAGACGAUCAGCUAGGAGUUACAUCCAAGAGAAUGUCAACAAGUUUGCUAGAUUCCGUGCACUUGUUGCAUCAACUGGCUCUUCUACUAAUGUGACAUCUAUAAAAUAUUUGAAGAUACUGUGGUAUAUUCUAGGACAACCUUCAACCAAACAUUCUAAUCUGAAAAAUAAAAGUCAAAAGAUUU